GGCCUUAAACCGAAGUAUUUCUCGUUCAUAACUGUUAUUUAGUGAAGGGCAAUAUUAUAUACUCCCAAUAAGUCAUAUAAACAUAUUACUAUGCUGAUCAAAUUUAACCGUUUUCAGAUUAAUGUUUAUUUUCUCUUCUGAUAUUAUUUACUAUAACCUUUAUGUAUCCAAAAUCACUGGAUCCUUUAUAAAACGGUCUUUAAAAUGGAAUACAGGGGACUCAUGAUCUAUUCAAUAUCAAUUCUUGCUACCUUUGUUUUUACAGUCCAUUAUAUUCCAUGAUUGAUAUUGAUAUAUAUGUAUAACCACGUGUUAUCCGAUUGAAAAUGUCUGGCAUAAAGUUGUCAUAUGUUUAGAUGUGUAUAAUAAAAUUAAAAUUUGAUGUGGCGGCAUGGUAAUUAACAUUAUCAUCCUUAACGACAUACAAAUUACCAGAUCUGAAAAGUAAACCAUCAACUUGCCAAUAUACAUCAUGUACUAUUUUACAACCCUAGAUUAAGCCGACGAGGAAAGGUAUAUUUUUAUGUAGCCUAGUUGGUCAAGUGGUCUAGGGCGCUGGACACGGUACAGACGGUGUUGUCACGCAGUCACAUAUGCAAGGGUUCGAAUCCCGCAUAGGGAAGAACAAAAAGUUGCUACUAAAAUAUAUAAUUCGUCUCAAAUUUAGCCCAACAAAGUUAGAUAUAUAUAUAUUUAUAAAUAACUCGUCUAAACAUCAACCCAACAAUGUUAGAGCUGUAAAUUUGCUUUCGCAAAUUUUUUGUUCUUCCCUCGCCGGGAUUCGAACCCAUGCUACUGAGAUAUCGUGUCACCGAAUCGCCUGCACUGUAGCCGUCCCGCUAGACCACACGACCACCUGUGCUUCAUAUAAAAUGAAGGUUUCGGUGGCCGGGUGUUACCUUUCCACGUCAGUUUUAAUAUAACGCCGUACUACAGUACAUGAAGGCAUGAAGAUGUUAUUCUUACAGAACAACUGAAUUAUCUAUAGUAAAGGAUCCUACAAAUCAAUGUUAGAUUGAUUGAUUGUUGGUUGCUUUAACGUCCAGUGGCAAAUUAAUGUUAGAUACAGUCACAGAAAAUAAUCAUGUUUAU
rnacentral:lncRNA from 1 species